AUUGAACGCUGGCGGCAGGCCUAACACAUGCAAGUCGAGCGGAGCAGCGGACGGGGGCGUAAUGCUUAGGAAUCUGCUUGGUCGUGGGGGAUAACGUCCGGUAACGGGCGCUAAUACUGCAACCUAUCAGAUGAGACUAGGCCGGAUUAGCUAGUUGGUGGGGUAAAGGUCUACCAAGGCGACGAUCCGUACCUGGUCUGAGAGGAUGAUCAGUCACACUGGAACGGAGACACGGUCCAGACUCCUACGGGAGGCAGCAGUGGGGAAUAUUGGACAAUGGGCGAAAGCCUGAUGCAGCCAUGCCGCGUGUGUGAAGAAGGUCUUCGGGUUGUAAAGCACUUUAAGUUGGGAGGCGUUACCAACAGAAUAAGCACCGGCUAACUCCGUGCCAGCAGCCGCGGUAAUAC
rnacentral:rRNA from 1 species